CUGUGCUGCCAUUUGCAAAUAUAGAUCCCGUUCUGCUGCCUGCGGGAAACGUCAGCAUGGCAUUUUCGGCUGAGACUCACAGCACAGACAUCCCCAGCCUGAGGUUCUGUCUCAGAAGCAGGGCCUUUCUUUCCAGCAUCCACCAAAGUGAUGACACAUCCGUGUGUUCAGCAAACUGGAGUUGGAAGGGACCCCUGACUUCCUCACGCAAGCCCCAGAGGACAGCAUCGAAGACACGUGUCCCAAGAAGACGGUUCUAGGUAAGAAGCUGAACUUGAACCCCUGAGACCUGCACUGGAGGCCAGCGCAUCAAUAGCUAGGACGCUCCGUGUCCAGCACAUGAGAAGCCUCCAGUCAGUGUCCCUUCUUCUGAAUCCAUCUACCAUCUCAGAAAGAUGCCACCAUCAAUA